CUUGAUUGGCAAUAGACUAACAUUUAAGUUGAAUCUCACUUGAUGGUCUCACAUUAUUGGUGAAUUUGCAUUUGGUUGAAAGUUUACUUUUCUUUAUGGCUUUAUUGUGGUGAAUAUUGGAAACAGCUUGGAUUUGUUUAAUUUCCAUGGAAGGUCCAAAUAGUCCAUGAGACAUGUCUUUGUAAUGUGAGUUAAGAGAAUGUUGACUUGUUAGUGUUAGUGUUGGACGGCCCAUCCAAAUGGCAUGUAUUUAAACUUGCCAUACAGGAAUCCUAGAGACAUGUCUUUAUUUUCCCUAUAAAGUCCCAUGUCUGUUCUGAUUAACUUUCCAUGGUUUAUAAUCAAUGAAGGUGUUCACUACUCACCAUUGGAUGGUUCGGAUAUACAAAUUAAAACCUCCGAAGAACAGGAUCCGUGUAAAAACAAAGAAAUCAAAAUCGAAAGCAAGCUCCACAACCAGCUCAAAAAAAAAAAGAAGAAUCCCUGGCAAUGAAAGGCACUUUCAGAAGAUGUUGUCUCCAAUCAGUUACUUGUAACCCACAUAUUUAAUAUCCAAAACACUAAUUCGUUCUCUUAAAAGUAAUUUCUACAGCAAUUUUAUCGUGGUCAA